UACGUAGGGGGCUAGCGUUGUCCGGAAUCAUUGGGCGUAAAGCGCGCGUAGGCGGCCCGGUAAGUCCGCUGUAAAAGUCAAAGGCUCAACCUCGAGACGUCGGCGGAAACCAUCUGGCUAGAGUCCGGAAGAGGAGAGUGGAAUUCCUGGUGUAGCGGUGAAAUGCGCAGAUAUCAGGAAGAACACCCGUGGCGAAGGCGGCUCUCUGGGACGGUACUGACGCUGAGACGCGAAAGCGUGGGGAGCGAACAGG
rnacentral:rRNA from 1 species